rnacentral:misc_RNA from 1 species
AAGUCGUAACAAGGUUUCCGUAGGUGAACCUGCGGAAGGAUCACUAAAGAGAACUUGCCCUUCGGGGUAGAUCUCCCACCCUUUGUUUAUCACACCUUGUUGCUUUGGCGGGCCUGCCUCGCGGCUGCCGGCGUACGCUGGCGCGCGCCCGCCAGAGACCCCCAAACUCUGAAUAUUGUCGUCCGAGUAAUAUAUAAUAAGUUAAAACUUUCAACAACGGAUCUCUUGGUUCUG